ACGACUCUCGGCAACGGAUAUCUCGGCUCUCGCAUCGAUGAAGAACGUAGCGAAAUGCGAUACCUGGUGUGAAUUGCAGAAUCCCGCGAACCAUCGAGUCUUUGAACGCAAGUUGCGCCCGAGGCCACUUGGCCGAGGGCACGCCUGCCUGGGCGUCACGC
rnacentral:rRNA from 2 species